rnacentral:tRNA from 1 species
GGUGGCUCAGUGGUAGAAUGCUUGCCUUGAAUGCAUGAGGCCUUAGGUUCAAUUCCUCAGCACCA